AAAAACUUGUCAGGGGCUCCACUAAGAUCCGCCCCUGGGUGAGCGAUCGAAUCUAAUAACAUCCUUACGGGUGGGGUUUCAACUAGGAGGCAUUUGGAGAUUGAAGAUAUAAUAGCAUAUUGGCAUAAUAUGAUUUAGUAUUUGGAUUUUGGAGAGAGAGAGAUGAGGAGAGAGAGCUUAAAAAGGGUCGCUGGCCAGAUCAAUAAGAGUGUAAGGAGGUGCUUUUACCUCCAUUGUCACUGCAAUCGCUAAAGCUCGCCAGAUCCAAAACACCCUCAUCGAACACUAGGGUUCAAAAUUGCCUUAAAUCGAAGGCCCAUCGGGAUUACGAAUGACGAAAUCAGAAACGCUCUUCGAACGAUGAUAAGUGGAAAUCGAUGAUGAUGGGUUGUAAGGAUGUCGGCAAUCUGGUAAGCAUCUAGAUUUAAAUUACGGUUUCUUAUGAUUAUAAUUUUUGUGUUUGUGUUUACGAUGAGGGUUCUGUAUUGAUGAUGAAGCUUAUUGACCGGAGGUGGUUUUCCAGCAGAUGGGGUAAUUCUAAGAAGAAAUAGAGAGAGAGAGAGGGGUCGCGCUAGCGGUUACCGGAGGGUGGAGGCAAUCUUUUGCGUAGAUCGGUUUAUCCAAGGAGAGUAUGGAAGACUCAGUACCAUCAUCGAUGGAUAGUUUUUCAACCUGUUCUCUUUACAGAGCCAUUUAAACCAGCGUUUGUUCCCGAUAGCAACACCAACACUACUGUCCGCCACCACCAACCUGUGCCAUCGAUCACCAUUGUUGUCGUCUCCGGUAGCCGUUGUAAACAACCCAACCCCAUGACCCCUCGCCACUACUGCCUACCAUCUCCGUCACCUCCUUCGCAAGCGGGACAAGAAGAGGCAGCCAUGUGGACGCGCUCACAAGCGUAUCCAGUAUAACCGCCAUUCAUCACUGCCGGUAAAGUUCACGGAUCAUUGGUGCGUGCGGGCAAGGUGAGAGGCCAAACCCAAAGGUCGCCAAGCAGGACAAGAAGAAGCAGCCUUGCGGACACGCUCACAAGCGUAUCCAGUACAACUAUCGUUUGUCACGGCCAAUGUUAAUUCUCUCAUUCCUUAAUUUAUUUGUUUUCAAGAUAACACAAUUAGAAUGAGUUACCUGCCUAGCAACCGGCACUAAACCAAUAGUAAUAACUACCCAGCAACCGGGAUGGAGUGGAAUCUAAAUUUAAUUUUAAAAGUUUUUGGUUCUCCCAUAAUUUGUUAGAAUUAGAAUCGAAAUUUCGUUUGUUUGGUUGAGAAAUGAUAUUGAAAUGUAUUCACUUAAUGGUGAGCUUGG